rnacentral:misc_RNA from 1 species
UUACAUUUAUUUUUGAUACAUUAGCUUGUCCAUCCAACUUAAAAGCAUCAUGAAUGUGAAUGAUACAGACGUAGUAGUAUACAAUGAUCAAAUGAUUCUAAAGAUAAUAAACUGUUCAGAUUUUGCUGGUUGCUUCCCAGAUAGUUGUACCAUCACAAGUGCAAAGCUUCUUGUAGUUCUCACCAACCCCGGCACUUCUAGCUAUCACUGCUGCUGUAAGUCCUGGGUCUGAUUUAUCUUCAGUAGCAUAUACAGCAAUAGCUCUCCCAAUCAGGUCAGCAACUCUCAGCUUCUCUUUAGGACCGGAAUAAAAUGCCUCUCCUUUCUCGUCAACAUCCAGUGUUCCCAGGUCACCGAGUGGUAGGCUGUACAAUUUUCCAGUACUAGCUGCCCCCCUCGUCAAAUCACCAAAUUCAUUAAUAGACCAAGCAUGCUUCCCAGGUGACAGGCCACUGAAGUUUGCUUCAAUCCUAGUUAAUUCCAUAUUGACUUGAGCCAAGCGAACAACACCAAAAAUAUCUGGUCCUUUGAAUUCGGCAACGGCAGCAGAUAUAAGGAAAUCAUCCGGUACUCCUUGCCCAAUCAGACGGGCUUUUCGACCUGUUUGCUCCAAGGCUUCAGUCAUUGUCUUCACAGGUGAAGAUCCAAGAAUUCUCACUACUUGAUUAUCAAGAUCCACAUCUACAUUCUUGACUCCUUCUACGGUUUGCAAUUUGCUCUUGACAGCACUAACACAGCCUUGACACGACAUAUCCACCAUAAACUCUGUCAGCAACUCAGGCAAAACGACUCCAUUAUCGGAGGAAGUUUGGUGAUUUGAAGAAUGCGUUUCCAUAUGAAGAGCUGAAGGAGGACUCUUUUUUUGUAGAUUCUUCGCGAAGCUUAAUUGGAGAAUCGAAUUCGAACUAGAAAUUGAGCCAAAUUUUAGAUUUUUCAACGGACGUUCAAACUGCGAAGAAGAAGAAAUAGAAGAAACAGCAAAAGCAGCAGCUGGAAUAGCAGCAGCAAUGGCGGUAGUUUUUGCAGUCACAAUGGACCUCAAAAAUGCCAUUUUUUUUUACUCUUUUUAUAUUCAGAGUUUUGGUCAUAGAGAAGAGAAGUCGAU